ACAUGAAUCGAACGCACCCUCUCUCAAUGGCGCGGUUUACGUCAGCCUCGAGUCCCACCUGUUGCUGGCCGUUAUACUCACCUGAAGAGUGUGUACCUGCCGCUACAUUUCAUGUAUUAUUUCACAAGACAGCUCAGCUAGCGGCCAACAGUUCAACAUCCCUGAAGCACGAAGGCUGUGAAGGCGAAACAACCGCCAUAGUCUCGGCGCUCUGUGACUCUAGAAGGUCGGCCAUUAGCAUAGUUAGCUUCCGUUAGCAUUAGUUAAGCUAGCUGCGCCCGCAAACCGCCGCAAACGCGCACUUUAAUGCGGAUGGCAGAGUUUUCCUGCCCCUGUUGUGGCUCGGAUCGUCUCCUCGAGGGUUUGUUCUUCGCGGAGAGACCACUGCUCCACUUCACCAAGCUAAAUAUUCUCUGCUUUUGCCAACAUGGAUGUUAUAACCCCUGAGGUGGAAUAACAUCCAACAUUUACAGUGAAAGAGGGAAAUUCUCAUUUUGGUCCUGGAAAUUACAGGGAGCGGGUCCCCUUCCACGGAGGUCGCCAAGUUGCACCGCCAUGUUUCUAC